rnacentral:rRNA from 1 species
UAAUUUGAGAGUUUGAUCCUGGCUCAGGACGAACGCUGGCGGCGUGCCUAAUACAUGCAAGUCGAACGAACUCUGGUAUUGAUUGGUGCUUGCAUCAUGAUUUACAUUUGAGUGAGUGGCGAACUGGUGAGUAACACGUGGGAAACCUGCCCAGAAGCGGGGGAUAACACCUGGAAACAGAUGCUAAUACCGCAUAACAACUUGGACCGCAUGGUCCGAGCUUGAAAGAUGGCUUCAGCUAUCACUUUUGGAUGGUCCCGCGGCGUAUUAGCUAGAUGGUGGGGUAACGGCUCACCAUGGCAAUGAUACGUAGCCGACCUGAGAGGGUAAUCGGCCACAUUGGGACUGAGACACGGCCCAAACUCCUACGGGAGGCAGCAGUAGGGAAUCUUCCACAAUGGACGAAAGUCUGAUGGAGCAACGCCGCGUGAGUGAAGAAGGGUUUCGGCUCGUAAAACUCUGUUGUUAAAGAAGAACAUAUCUGAGAGUAACUGUUCAGGUAUUGACGGUAUUUAACCAGAAAGCCACGGCUAACUACGUGCCAGCAGCCGCGGUAAUACGUAGGUGGCAAGCGUUGUCCGGAUUUAUUGGGCGUAAAGCGAGCGCAGGCGGUUUUUUAAGUCUGAUGUGAAAGCCUUCGGCUCAACCGAAGAAGUGCAUCGGAAACUGGGAAACUUGAGUGCAGAAGAGGACAGUGGAACUCCAUGUGUAGCGGUGAAAUGCGUAGAUAUAUGGAAGAACACCAGUGGCGAAGGCGGCUGUCUGGUCUGUAACUGACGCUGAGGCUCGAAAGUAUGGGUAGCAAACAGGAUUAGAUACCCUGGUAGUCCAUACCGUAAACGAUGAAUGCUAAGUGUUGGAGGGUUUCCGCCCUUCAGUGCUGCAGCUAACGCAUUAAGCAUUCCGCCUGGGGAGUACGGCCGCAAGGCUGAAACUCAAAGGAAUUGACGGGGGCCCGCACAAGCGGUGGAGCAUGUGGUUUAAUUCGAAGCUACGCGAAGAACCUUACCAGGUCUUGACAUACUAUGCAAAUCUAAGAGAUUAGACGUUCCCUUCGGGGACAUGGAUACAGGUGGUGCAUGGUUGUCGUCAGCUCGUGUCGUGAGAUGUUGGGUUAAGUCCCGCAACGAGCGCAACCCUUAUUAUCAGUUGCCAGCAUUAAGUUGGGCACUCUGGUGAGACUGCCGGUGACAAACCGGAGGAAGGUGGGGAUGACGUCAAAUCAUCAUGCCCCUUAUGACCUGGGCUACACACGUGCUACAAUGGAUGGUACAACGAGUUGCGAACUCGCGAGAGUAAGCUAAUCUCUUAAAGCCAUUCUCAGUUCGGAUUGUAGGCUGCAACUCGCCUACAUGAAGUCGGAAUCGCUAGUAAUCGCGGAUCAGCAUGCCGCGGUGAAUACGUUCCCGGGCCUUGUACACACCGCCCGUCACACCAUGAGAGUUUGUAACACCCAAAGUCGGUGGGGUAACCUUUUAGGAACCAGCCGCCUAAGGUGGGACAGAUGAUUAGGGUGAAGUCGUAACAAGGUAGCCGUAGGAGAACCUGCGGCUGGAUCACCUCCUUU